CGGCAGAUACGGAGUAAAAUUACAUGUUCGUGUAGAGGUGGGUGGAACAGAGAAAACUGUACUGGCUUUCCUGCUCUCUUAUUGGUCGCGCUGCCUGUCAAAGUGGGUGAUUGACAUAUUUUAAAGCUCCUGUCAUUCAAACUAAGGAAUGCCCCUAAAUGGGUGGUGUCAUUGUGCUGGACUGCCCACAAAGGGGCGGUGAUAUGAUGUAUUAUGCUGAUCUGACCAAUGGUAUUUGUCAAAUGGUAUGAUGUCAUGCGUGGGUCCACCCACUAAUUACCAUGUCUUCGCCCUUUUUACGCAGGUGUCUGAUUUGGGCGGUACAUAGUGAUUAUGCAAAUCUUGAUUGUCAGCUUGCAUAAAUAUGAAUAAUUAUUUUUUAUUAGGCAGGUUUUUCGGUUGGUGUACUCAUUCCCUGGGGGAAGGAGUUACCGGAGAGAAGUUUUAUUACUUGAUUCUUACCUUGAUUUAGUCGGCCGUCAUCUGCCUCUGGUCGGAUUCGAACUCUGGCCCUUGACGUUGCUGGUCCUGCGCUGUACACGUCAAGCUGCCCUUCAUGCUACGACGGAAUGCUGGACCUCAUCUCGCUGCUGUUGCUUCUGAAUGAUCCAAGAAGAUUCCACAGGGACAGGUGGCUCACCGGCUGAGAGCGGACAACCGUCCCUGAGGUCUUCUGCUAAGAUGCCCACCGGAGCGAAAGGAACCAAGUAAAUCUCCCCAAUGUGGAUG